GAAGCUGACCAGACAGUCGCCGCUUCGUCGUCGUCCUCCUUCGGGGGGAGACGGGCGGAGGGGAGGAAAGUCCGGGCUCCAUAGGGCAAGGUGCCAGGUAACGCCUGGGGGGUGUCACAGCCCACGACCAGUGCAACAGAGAGCAAACCGCCGAGGGCCCGCGCAAGCGGGAUCAGGUAAGGGUGAAAGGGUGCGGUAAGAGCGCACCGCGCGGCUGGUAACAGUCCGCGGCACGGUAAACUCCACCCGGAGCAAGGCCAAAUAGGGGUUCAUAAGGUACGGCCCGUACUGAACCCGGGUAGGCUGCUUGAGCCAGUGAGCGAUUGCUGGCCUAGAUGAAUGACUGUCCACGACAGAACCCGGCUUAUCGGUCAGUUUCACCU
rnacentral:RNase_P_RNA from 1 species